rnacentral:rRNA from 1 species
GACGAACGCUGGCGGCAGGCCUAACACAUGCAAGUCGAGCGGAUGAGGAAAGCUUGCUUUUCGAUUCAGCGGCGGACGGGUGAGUAAUGCCUAGGAAUCUGCCUGUUAGUGGGGGAUAACUCGGGGAAACUCGGGCUAGUACCGCAUACGUCCUACGGGAGAAAGUGGGGGAUCUUCGGACCUCACGCUAACAGAUGAGCCUAGGUCGGAUUAGCUAGUAGGUGAGGUAAUGGCUCACCUAGGCGACGAUCCGUAACUGGUCUGAGAGGAUGAUCAGUCACACUGGAACUGAGACACGGUCCAGACUCCUACGGGAGGCAGCAGUGGGGAAUAUUGGACAAUGGGCGAAAGCCUGAUCCAGCCAUGCCGCGUGUGUGAAGAAGGUCUUCGGAUUGUAAAGCACUUUAAGUUGGGAGGAAGGGUAUUCACCUAAUACGUGGGUACUUUGACGUUACCAACAGAAUAAGCACCGGCUAACUCUGUGCCAGCCGCCGCGGUAAAAC